AUCCUUCUGUAGUUCAUCAGCAUCAUGCCUGGGUUUUCACGUUCCUGUGUGAGAUGUGCCUCCCUCAAACCUUGUUAUGGCAUCGGCACAUUACCAAUCUGAUG
rfam:Callithrix jacchus chromosome 14, whole genome shotgun sequence